AUGAUGACGACAACCGUCAGUCGUCGUCCUGCAGGCGGCGCUAGCGCCUGUCCCUCCGCUUCCUGUCCCUCCGCUUCCUGUCCCUCCGCUUCUGUCCCUCCGCUUCUGUCCCUCCGCUUCUGUCCCUCCGCUUCUGUCCCUCCGCUUCUGUCCCUCCGCUUCCUGUCCCUCCGCUUCUGUCCCUCGCUUCUGUCCUCCGCUUCCUGUCCCUCCGCUUCCUGUCCCUCCGCUUCCUGUCCCUCCGCUUCUGUCCCUCCGCUUCCUGUCCCUCCGCUUCUGUCCCUCCGCUUCUGUCCCUCCGCUUCUGUCCCUCCGCUUCUGUCCCUCCGCUUCCUGUCCCUCCGCUUCCUGUCCCUCCGCUUCCUGUCCCUCCGCUUCCUGUCCCGCUUCUGUCCCUCCGCUUCUGUCCUCCGCUUCUGUCCCUCCGCUUCCUGUCCCUCCGCUUCUGUCCCUCCGCUUCUGUCCCUCCGCCUUCCUGUCCCUCCGCUUCUGUCCCUCCGCUUCUGUCCCUCCGCUUCCUGUCCCUCCGCUUCCUGUCCCUCCGCUUCUGUCCCUCCGCUUCCUGUCCCUCCGCUUCUGUCCCUCCGCCUUCUGUCCCUCCACUUCUGUCCCUCCGCUUCUGUCCUCCGCUUCCUGUCCCUCCGCUUCCUGUCCCUCCGCUUCUGUCCCUCCGCUUCUGUCCCUCGCUUCUGUCCUCCGCUUCUGUCCCUCCACUUCUGUCCCUCCACUUCUGUCCUCCGCUUCCUGUCCCUCCGCUUCCUGUCCCUCCGCUUCCUGUCCCUCCGCUUCCUGUCCCUCCGCUUCUGUCCCUCCGCUUCUGUCCCAUCGCUUCUGUCCUCCGCUUCCUGUCCCUCCGCUUCCUGUCCCUCCGCUUCCUGUCCCUCCGCUUCUGUCCCUCCACUUCUGUCCCUCCGCUUCCUGUCCCUCCGCUUCUGUCCCUCCGCUUCUGUCCCUCCGCUUCCUGUCCCUCCGCUUCCUGUCCCUCCGCUUCCUGUCCUCCGCUUCCUGUCCCUCCGCUUCCUGUCCCUCCGCUUCAACAAGUGGUUGUUUCUGAACCGAUUUGAGCUCAGUGAUUCUCUGGUGGGUUUUUCCUUAAACAACAUGAAUGAUAAUCAGACUCGACCGUUUGUUCUUCAGAGACGCGUGACCUUUGACCGCGACCCGGUCUGGUCUGUGCGAGGGCUGAAGACUGGUUCGGACCGAGCGAGACGCUGA
ensembl:lncRNA